rnacentral:rRNA from 1 species
GUCGAACGCUGGCGGCGUGCCUAAUACAUGCAAGUAGGACGCAGUUGCGAACGGGUGAGUAACGCGUAGGUAACUACCUAUUAGAGGGGGAUAACUAUUGGAAACGAUAACUAAUACCGCAUACUAGUAGAUGGACCUGCGUUGUAUUAGCUAGGAGGUAGGGUAAAGGCCUACCUAGGCAACGAUACAUGACCGACCUGAGGGGGAGGACGGGCACAAGUGGACUGAGGAACGGGCCAGGCUCCUACGGGAGGGAGCAGUAGGGGAACAUCGGCAAUGGGGGGAAAGCUGACCGAGCAAAGGCGGGGGAGUGGAGGAAGGUUUCGGAGCGUAAAGGUCUGUUGUGAAGGGAGCGUUACUUGACCAGAAAGUGACGGCUAACUACGUGCCAGCAGCCGCGGUAAUUC